rnacentral:rRNA from 1 species
GAUGAACGCUGGCGGCGUGCCUAAUACAUGCAAGCCGAGCGAACAGACGAGGAGCUUGCUCCUUUGACGUUAGCGGCGGACGGGUGAGUAACACGUGGGUAACCUACCUAUAAGACUGGGAUAACUUCGGGAAACCGGAGCUAAUACCGGAUAAUAUUUCGAACCGCAUGGUUCGAUAGUGAAAGAUGGCUCUGCUAUCACUUAUAGAUGGACCUGCGCCGUAUUAGCUAGUUGGUAAGGUAACGGCUUACCAAGGCAACGAUACGUAGCCGACCUGAGAGGGUGAUCGGCCACACUGGAACUGAGACACGGUCCAGACUCCUACGGGAGGCAGCAGUAGGGAAUCUUCCGCAAUGGGCGAAAGCCUGACGGAGCAACGCCGCGUGAGUGAUGAAGGUCUUCGGAUCGUAAAACUCUGUUAUUAGGGAAGAGCAAACGUGUAAGUAACUGUGCACGUCUUGACGGUACCUAAUCAGAAAGCCACGGCUAACUACGUG